rnacentral:lncRNA from 1 species
CAGGAAUCACGAUUGUGCAUAUAGAAAAGGAUAAUAAACCUGGUGGCUUUGGAAGGGUGAGGUUCAUAAGGCAGGCUGGAUAGUGAUCACAUGAAAGCGACAGCAUCAAUAAUCCAACAAACCAACCAACUGUCCAAAACAUCAUCACAGAACAUCUAAAUGCCAGACAAUGUACAAAGUGAGGGGGUUGAUGAGUGAAUCAAGAUGACCAUCUAUGCUGUUUACCUGUAUAAUAUGACAUAUUCAUGCCCUUGUUUCCUGGAGAGCCUAUAGGCUGGUGUCACCCUAGUUAUAGCAAGAAGGGACUUCAGCAGCAAUGACAGUCUGUUGUACACCGUGUAGGAAACUUUGAUUUCUUUAUCACACCUGCCAGGCACAAAGAUAUGGUCAGCAUUCUUCUAUUUAGCGCUGGAGCUACACAAGACCAAAUUUAUUAUUAAGACAUGUUCUGACUAACCAGAGAACUCUAAUUACACCUUUAUCAACAGAUUACUGAGGUAAGCCAAUGUUUUACUUUCUCAUGUACUAGACACAGGCAAAUGAGCACCAAAAGGCACCCAAUAUAUUUUUUCUAGCUUCAAAGUGGUUAUUUUUUUUUUAGAAAUAAAGCAGCACAUCUGAAAACAUAUAAAUAAAUAAAUACUGCAAUUAUAUACACUGAAGGUGCAAACAUGUACUAUCCUAUGAGCUGUCUAUCUCGAUAAUCUAACAGAAGUCUGCAGAAAAGUCAGCUUGGCUCUAAAAUUUUGGGUCAUAACCUGGCAAUUGCAUUUAUUCAAUAAAGAAAAUUAAUGUCCACCACA